UUUGAACAUUUGGAAAAAUAAAUCUCGGUGUCCAAAUGGUUUUACUGGUAAAUUCUAGCAAACAUCUUACAAAAACAUAUCAGCAAUUCAACAUAAUCUCAUUCAGAAAAUAGACAAGGAGGCAAUCUUUUACAAUUCACUUUUUUGAAAUAGUAAGAUGAAAUAAAGACCUCCUUGGAAGGUAUAAUACAUUAUUAUUUACUAUAUUGCAUUAUUAUUUACUAUAUGUUGCAUAGUGUAUGGUGAAAAUGAUAAGUCUUGUGUUACAUAUAUUUAGCCACAAAAUCUGGCACUUAUAGUAGCACUAAAAUGUGAUUGUGUAUCUAUAUAUAAUUAAAUAUAUAUGUAUGGAAUAAAUUCAGCAAAGACAUAUAUACCAAAAUGUAUAAAACAUUGCUGACAGAAAUUAAAGAAGACCUAAGUAAAAGCAGUAAAAAGAAUAAUGUUGUAACCUCAUCCUGCCUGAUUUCAAAACUUAUUAUAAAGGUACAGCAAUCAAGACAGUGUGGUAUUGGUAGAUACAAAAAUAGAUUAAUGGAACAGAUUUGAGAGUCCAGAAAUAGACCACACAUUUAUUAUAUUCAAUUGAUUUUGAACAAGGAAGUUAAGGUAAUUCAAUGCUGGUAAAUCUGAAUAAGUAGUUUGAAAAAUAUGAACAUCCCCUUUAUCAUUUUUUAUUGUGUCUAUUUGAUUCUUCUCUCUUUUUUUCUUUAUUAGUCUUGCUAGCCACCGAUCCCACAGAAAUACAAACUACCAUCAGAGAAUACUACAAACACCUCUACGCAAAUAAACUCAACUUCAGCAAAGUCUCAGGAUACAAAAUCAAUGUACAAAAAUCACAAGCAUUCUUAUACACCAACAACAGACAAACAGAGAGCCAAAUCAUGGGUGAACUCCCAUUCACAAUUGCUUCAAAGAGAAUAAAAUACCUAGGAAUCCAACUUACAAGGGAUGUGAAGGACCUCUUCAAGGAGAACUACAAACCACUGCUCAAGGAAAUAAAAGAGGACACAAACAAAUGGAAGAACAUUCCAUGCUCAUGGGUAGGAAGAAUCAAUAUCGUGAAAAUGGCCAUACUGCCCAAGGUAAUUUACAGAUUCAAUGCCAUCCCCAUCAAGCUACCAAUGACUUUCUUCACAGAAUUGGAAAAAACUACUUUAAAGUUCAUAUGGAACCAAAAAAGAGCCCGCAUUGCCAAGUCAAUCCUAAGCCAAAAGAACAAAGCUGGAGGCAUCACACUACCUGACUUCAAACUAUACUACAAGGCUACAGUAACCAAAACAGCAUGGUACUGGUACCAAAACACAGAUAUAGAUCAAUGGAACAGAACAGAGCCCUCAGAAAUAAUGCCGCAUAUCUACAACUAUCUGAUCUUUGACAAACCUGACAAAAACAAGCAAUGGGGAAAGGAUUCCCUAUUUAAUAAAUGGUGCUGGGAAAACUGGCUAGCCAUAUGUAGAAAGCUGAAACUGGAUCCCUUCCUUACACCUUAUACAAAAAUCAAUUCAAGAUGGAUUAAAGAUUUAAACGUUAAACCUAAAACCAUAAAAACCCUAGAAGAAAACCUAGGCAUUACCAUUCAGGACAUAGGCGUGGGCAAGGACUUCAUGUCCAAAACACCAAAAGCAAUGGCAACAAAAGACAAAAUUGACAAAUGGGAUCUAAUUAAACUAAAGAGCUUCUGCACAGCAAAAGAAACUACCAUCAGAGUGAACAGGCAACCUACAACAUGGGAGAAAAUUUUCGCAACCUACUCAUCUGACAAAGG
rnacentral:lncRNA from 1 species